rnacentral:piRNA from 1 species
UGUGUAUUUGUUUUUCAAUGU